UACAGAGGUCCCAAGCGUUGUUCGGAUUCACUGGGCGUAAAGGGUGCGUAGGUGGCGGGGUCAGUCUGACGUGAAAUCUCCGGGCUUAACCCGGAAAUGGCGUUGGAAACUACCUUGCUUGAGGGUUGGAGGGGGGACUGGAAUUCUUGGUGUAGCAGUGAAAUGCGUAGAUAUCAAGAGGAACACCAGUGGCGAAGGCGAGUCCCUGGACAACACCUGACACUGAGGCACGAAAGCUAGGGGAGCAAACAGG
rnacentral:rRNA from 1 species